GUGUCAGUUUCAGGGUUAACCGGACAUCCGGGAGGAGGUCCGGAUGAUCCGGGCUUGGUCCGGAUGAUCCGGGAGGAAAUCCGGAUGAUCCGGGUUCGUCAGCGCCGGUUCUGUUUUCUGGGUGCGUGGGUUGUCCGGACGUCCGGGGGGGCGUCCAGCUGAUUCGGGGGAUGUCCGGAUGAUCCGGGAGAUGGUCUGGAUGAUCCGGGCAAGUCAAACCGCUCGGGUUUUGCUCGUGGAGACGAAUUUUUGGGCGGCAAUGGGGGAUUUAGGGGUCAAAAUUGACGAGAUUUCGUGGAUGGAAGGUGGGCAAACUUGGGGAAAUGCUAGAUCCACUUGAAACCAAGCAAAUCCACGGAUCAAAAUCAACAAAACAUCAUCAAACCAACAAAUCACAAAAAAAAUUGGGGCUAUUUUUGGUGGGGAUUUUCGGAUUUAGGACGAAAACAACAAAAUCAAGCUAGAAAACACGGGGUAGGGGCUCCAAAAACGUGAUCAACGUGGCUCAUGAUACCAUAUGAUGUAGGGUGGAACCCUAAUUCGUCGAUCUUUCACGUUUGGAGUGGAUCCUAUGGAGGAAACACGAAGAACACGCGGAAGCACAAAGAGAAACACGGGGAAAACGAGAGAGAAUCACUCAACCAACAAGGAAUCGAUCACACAAGUGCUAGAUCAACAUACACACAUGAGAUCCACAAGAUACAUAGUCAACUAGGGUAAGGAUACAAAGGAACCGUUCAUCUCCAAGAGGAGGCCUCGAAUCCACGAGGGGAUCUUCCCGUAAAGGGGUCUUGAAUCCGAAAGGAUCUUCUCCGAAGAGGCCGCGGUCUCUCACGAGGAGGAGAUCCGAUAGAUGAGCGAGGCUCUAUCUCAAAAAUGAGCUAAAUCAACGCUAAGUCUCAAAGUGAGGAGAGGGGGUCCUAUUUAUAGACUUGGGGACGAAGGGGUACAUGGGCUCAGCCCAACACGCGCACACAGGCGCUGGCCGGAUGAUCCGGACGGGGGUCCGGAUGAUCCGGGCUGGUCCGGAUGAUCCGGGUGGUGGCCCGGAUGAGCUGGAGGCCCGGCUGGUGGCGGCGACGGGCCGGAUGUCCGGCUCUAGGUCCGGAUGAUCUGGGCGGGGUCCGGAUGAUCCGGGACGGGGUCCGGAUGAUCCGGCUUCAGGUUUGAGCUUCGGGAGUCUGCGGGCGAUUUAGCCGGAUCGUCCGGGCCUGGGUCCGGAUCGUCCGGGCCGGGGUCCGGAUCAUCCGGGCAUCCUGGUCCUUGGUGAUUUUUCCUCUCCGUCUUCAUGCACGCCUUCCGCUUCCGGUUCUCCUUGCUUCCUAGCUUCUUCAGGGUCGACUCCUUGGUACCUGAGUAUGCAUAGUAUUUCCGUUUGAGGUAGUAACCAUGUCUCAUGUGAAUCGAAAGGGAAUUGUGAGAGGAGUGAUGUCACCUCGGUUUCAAGAGCUCUUGCACGUGCUCGAGUCAUAGGUCCUUGUGGGGUUGAAGGUGUUGAUGUAGAGUCCAUGGGGAUGAUGGAAGGAUGCUCCGCAUCAUAUCCCCCCCCCCCCUUGGGAAAGAUCCGACCUCGGAUCGUGAUCCUCAUCACCAUGGAAAUGGUUGUCGUAGACGGACUUGUAGUUGGACGAAGUUGAAGACAUGGUGCAAUCCGCGUAGUCCAAGGUGUCGCCGGAGUGAUAGACAUGCAAAAAGAGCAAACACAAGCAACACUCGGAAAUACAAUGGUUAGCGCACACAAAGUGUCCAUCAUGUAAGAAUGAGUCCGUGCGGCAAGAUUGGUUGUGACAAAGCGCAUGAAGCUUAUCAAAAUGAUCUAUAAUGAGAUGCAAACCAUUCAUGGGAGGAAAUGCAGUCAUUUUGCACACAAAUGUGUUGUAAAUAUGAUCAAUGCAACCACGGUGCAAAGUGAUGUCAUAGUGAGACGGUUUAUCAAUAGCAUGAAUAUGGCAAUGGAUGCUCAAUAUGUAUAUGUUAUCAUGCAAUUGAUGAUGGACAAUAUGAUCAUGAUGUAUGAAUAUGCCAUCAAGGAAGAUCACAACAAAUUUGCUAAGGAAGUGAACAAUCUCAUAUAUCAUGGAUGACAUGGUAAUACAAGAUGCAACAAGGCAAUCAUAAUGUGAGUCAAUCCAUGCAUAGGGUGCAAACUUGUGGUGAGUAUGAUAUGUCCAUCGAGCAUGACAUAUAUGAGCACAAUCAACAAAUAUGGAUGUGGGAGUGCAAGGUGUCAAAGGAGUGUUGAUGUACCAAUGCUCGAUGUCGUGGCAUGAGUGGAAUUUCGAAGGUGCAUCCAAUAAGUGCGAGCGCUCCUCAAUGUGAAGGUCCAUGUAGCCAAUCUCCAAUGUCGCUCCUCCGGUCGCGAGAUGUAUCAUGUAGACAACAAGAAGGAAACAACAAUGAAAGAGUGACCCAUCCAAUAUGCAUACUUGAGGGUGGCUCAAAGGGAAGGAGUUCACCUUAUGAAUGUUCCCGAAGAUGUCGGAGUUGCACAUCAUGUAUGACUUCACAUAACCAAGUUGUCGCAUAACGGCAUCGCCUUGUGAAACCUCCAAAAUGAAAGAACAUGACAAACACUCGGAAAAACAAAUGAGGUUAGCGGAAAUGCAAAACCUAUCAUUCGAGUGGUAAGAUACCCAACAAGUGUACACAUCAUGCUCAUCAUAAGAAAGUACAAGGGAGCGUUGCAUAGUAUGGAGGCAUAUGAUGCGAGAACAACCAAAUGCAAUAGGCUCAAUCAAACAAACAUGCAUCACAAGUAAAGUGUCCAAGUCUCCAAGAUCAAUAAGCAUAGCAAGUUGGCACUCAAUACAAGGUGAUAUGAGAGAUGCAACUAAUGGAGACAAGAGGUAAUGAUCAUGACAAAUCAAGUGAGAGACAUCAACAUCUAUGUCAUCAACCCAAGAAAGCAAGUAAUAGUGGAACAUGGGUGAUGCAACAUAGCAAGCAAUCAUAGCGAUCAAGUCAAGCAAGCUAGUAGUGCGAAGAUGCAACGUACUAGAAGGAAUCAUGGCAAUCAUGUCAUGUGUGCAAAUAGUGGGCAUGAAUAAUUCACAUGUCAUAGCACAAGCAUGAAAGCAAGAUAUGAGUAAAUUGUCAUCAAUGUAUUGGCGAGAGACCAUAUGUAAAUAGCAAUGGGGCAUCAUGACUCUCCCAACACAACAAGCAUCAAUAGUAUGGGGCACAUGAUAAACAUGGCAAUAGCAACAAGGAUCUCCACCAAGCAUGCAAAUACACAUAGAAGUAGCAUAAUGAUGAAACAUGGGUAGAUGCAAGCAAGGGUCACAAUUGCAUGGCAAAGUCAUGUAAAGAGGCAUAACAUGCAAAGUGAACACGAUAGUAUGGGCAUAAGGUGACAAGUGGUAAAUAGCCCAUAGCCGUGUGAGAGCCAAGUAAAAGAGAUGCGCGUAGUCGAUGCGCAAAGAGAACGGUGGUAAGCAUAGUCCACUGGAUCCCAAGUCAUCGUUGCUCUCGAGAGCUCGUUUCGUCAACUCUUGGGAUUGAGAGGUUGACGAGUAUACAUGAGUACCUACACAAAACAAAGACAAAAGGAAAAUUGUGUGUGCGUGGUAGAUGUACACAUCAUCCAUCAUGAUGCGCACGUGCGUGUGUUUGUUAGCACUAAAUAGCCAAUGCUCAAAUAAAUGAGAUGCGUGAUAUAGAAACAUGUCAUCCAUCAUGAUAGGUUUGUUAUUAUGUAUCGCAUAAUGGAGACUCAAAUUGUGUAAUGCAUCAUGAGAAAUAUCUAGAGCAUUGUUGUUCAUGGAAUGCAUAUGGUGCACGCAGUCAUGGGAAUCAUGCAAAGUAUGGAAUGCAUCAAGAUCUCCUAAUAUGUAUGAGGAAACUAUGGGGGUCUCCUCAUGAGCAAGAGUAGUAACAUCAUGUGGAGAAUAUUGACAACAUCCAAAACAAUGCAUAUUUGGAACAAUGUGAUCAUGGCAUGACAUAUUAGAUGAAUUGCUUAAAUCAUGUAAAGGAAGCAUGGCAAUAUCAUCACAAGAGAAGCAAAAGCCAAUGACCAUCAUCUCGUCAUCUAUGCCAUAAGUGCAAAUGGGAUUGAUUUUAAUGGGGCAUGCAUAGUUACUAUGUUGAGAUUGAAAUGAUGCAAUAUGGGAGAUCUCACUCAUAGCAUAUGACAAGUUCAAAGGAUUGUCAAACAUGAAGUGACCGAUAGAAUUUUCACAUGAUAUCCUAUGAAGCAUAGCAUCACAACUAGGCAACUCAACAUGCUCAUCAUCAUAUUCAUCACAAAUAGGUAAGUCAAGGCAUGAAGAAGUCUCACUAGCAUGAAGCAUGGGAAUAGGUGGGUCAACAUCAUGGGAGCAAUCAAUGUCAAGAGAGUCCACUAGUGGGACAAGAGAAGCACCAUCACCUAUGUUACCUUUGGAGCGUCGCUCAUGUGUUGUAGGUGAGGUGUUGAAGAUCGUCUCGUUGUCAUCUUCAUCUUGAUGGAACCAUGUGGGGGUGCAUCAUCGUCCAUCAUGGCCAUCGUCGUCUCCAUAGGAGGUAUGGACUCAUCAAUGGUAGGCGUGUCGUCAUGUAGGAGACCUAGCACCAAAGAAGAAAACACACUAGGAGUAGAGGUUAAGUCGUUAGAAAUCAUAGUGGCCUCACAUGCCGUGUCAACUACCUCACUCUCUAAGUGUUGUGGCUCACUCACUCCCUCAAGGAUGCUCUCACUCAUAUGGCUGGUGGAGUCACUCAAAUGGCGCUCAACCUCACAUAGGAUGUGUGGCAUGCUCUCAUGUGUGGGUCUAGUGGUGGUCACACUCAUCCUCUCAUAGGAAAUGCUCUCAAUGUCACGUAUGGUGGAGUCACUCAUGUCACUCAUGGGGUGGUGGCUCUCCUCACAUGGCACUUGGCGCAUCUCGACAUAUGUGGGUGUCGGAGAGAUGUUGGUGCAAAUGUCUCCAUGCUCAACUCCUAUCGCCGUAGUCGAAGGGGAUGGCCCUUGAUCGACCUUCUUGUCACCGUCUUGGUGUGGGAGGCCCAUAUGAUGUGGCACCUCGUAGCUCGCCUCCAUGACCGAAGGGAGUUUCCCAUGCUCGGCCAUCUUCCUUGAGGGGCUUCCGAAGAUGGAAGUGUCACCCUCGCUCGUAGGUGGUCGCCUUGGACUUGAUGAAGUCGAUGUAUGCGUACUCGUGGGAAGUAGGCGAAGAUGCCGUACAUUCAAAGGCGAAGAUGCCUUGAGAACACUUGGCGAAGAUGCCGAAGUGGUUGAUGUAGCCGUAGCGCCGUCUUGGUGGUGGUCAUCUCGCGGUCUUCUUUUGUGCUCUUGAAGCUUGGACUUGGCGUGAAGUAGGUCUUGUUGGGACUUGUGCAUUUGCGCUUGUGGAGCAUCUUCAUGAUGAUGAUGUCGUUGUCGUGCUUGAGCUCGUAGUAGAUGUCGUUCGUCGUCGUCGUGCACAUGAUGCUUGGAGGUGACUUGCCCUUCAUGACGAUGUUGAUCACGAACGUGAUGGUGGUCGCCAUGUAGAUGUGGACGAGGACGAUAUGCACUUGCAUCUUUUUCGCGCUCCGAAGACUUGUGGCUUGACCGUCGUCGUCUUGAGGAUGAUGAAGGGGAAGAAGACUUGAUCAAGGCUCUAAUCUCCUCCAUCCUCGCAUCUUGCUCCUCCUUUUGUGCGGCAAGCUUGUUGUCGAUGUAGUCCCUUUUCCUUGCUUCGGAGUGGAAAAUGUCGAUGGAGAGGUUCUCAAUGCGCUCUUGCAAUCUUGAUUGUGCGCCUUGCAUUUGUUGUUGUAGUCCGAAGAUGGACCUUUUGGUGAUGUAGUUGUUCACGCCGUUGUUGUUGUCAUAGACCGGAGAGGGAAUGCCUUGCCUAUCCAUCACAAGACUCGAGCAAAUAUGAGUGGGAGAAAGAGAAGAACUUAUACCAAUGUACCUUGACCGAUGUUGACAAUGAAUCAAGUUCACUCAAAUGCGGACAAUGAAAUAGCACUAUUGGUACCAAUCCUUGUUGGUUCUCACAACUACACAAGUAAAGCUUAUGGUGGAGCUCGGUGAGGAUAGUGGCACAAAAAUUUGAUGCAAAAUGUUAGCAAGAGUUAAUAAUGUUGAAAAAGAUUCACAAAUUCGCAAGUGAAACAAAUGGACCAAUAGCAAAGAAUGGCACAUGGAAACACACACACGGAUAGAUAAAUGGGGUCGUGCAACCAAGGAAUGAGCACAAAAUGUGGAAUCCACGGAAAACGCUCGUGUUGCACAACUCAAGAGAGACACUAGCACGAUUGCUCAAUAGGCGGAUACGACACUUGUGCACAACCUAUAAUAUGCAAAAUGGAUAUUCUUCUAUCCCAAGUAUGCUAUGUAUGUAUGGUUCCCGGUGUUCCUCUCAAGCAUGAUACUAUAUGAUGUAGAUUUGACAAUCUUAUGUGCAAUGGGGUAUGAUGCUAUGGCACUUGCUCACGAGCUCUUUGCUCUCUUUUUCUUGCUUAAAAGCUUUUUUUUCAAUGGCCACUUUUGCACAAUGCACAAACCAAGAUAGCAAUUGUGUAUAUGCGGGAACAAACUUGAGGCACAAUGGAUGAUAUGAUACCAAGAUGAUAUGGUAUGUAUGCAAUGGAUGGUGGAUCACUAAUGUGCACAAGUAACGUUGCCGGCAAUACUCAAAUGGCUAGUCUCGAUAGUCAAGUAACGCAAAAUGGGCUAGGGGUUAACAAUGCAAUUGCAAGGGAAUAUACAAUGGUGUCAUCGAGGUUACCGUCCUUUGUGACGAUGAGUGGCGGUGUUCUUGGUGUAGAUACCAAGAUGAUGGAGACUCGUCCCUAAGUAGCCGAAACACCUUAGGAAACGGAAAAACCGCAAACUCAAAAUCUCAAAUGACAAAUGUCAAAUGGUGGUAGCGGAAAGCGGUGGUGGUGUUGCACUAGGCAAUGCGGAAGUGGAAUGAUGGGCUAUACACGAGUCGGAGUGGAAGUUGCCGUCCCUAAGUAGCCGAAACACCUUAGGAGACACAAGCCACAACUCAAACAAAAUUGGGUUAAGUUAGGGUGGAAUUGUAUGGUGGGCAAGGUUAUGUGGAAGUGGUGGUGGUGGUUGAUGAAGAAGCAAUUGUCCCUAAGUAGCCGAAACACCUUAGGAGACUCUAAUCACAACUCAAACAACCACAUAUGCAAUGGGGAACAAAAUGGGUUAGGUUGCGGAAGUCGGUGGUGGCUAUGCGGAUGAUAUGGUGGAAGGCCUAGGCAAACUUGCCAAAUUUCAGAAAAUAUGAUGGAGUCAAAUGAUGUUGGUGGUAUUUUUGUGGGAUGGGGAAUGUCAAGAGCUUCAAAGCGAGCUAAAGAACGUCAAAAUCGGACUCCGGAUGAAUUAGUUAUGACCAAAACAAAAUUUCAGCCGUGUCAGUUUCAGGGUUAACCGGACAUCCGGGAGGAGGUCCGGAUGAUCCGGGCUUGGUCCGGAUGAUCCGGGAGGAAAUCCGGAUGAUCCGGGUUCGUCAUCGCCGGUUCUAUUUUCUGGGUGCGUGGGUUGUCCGGACGUCCGGGGGGGCGUCCAGCUGAUCCGGGGGAUGUCCGGAUGAUCCGGGCAAGUCAAACCGCUCGGGUUUUGCUCGUGGAGACGAAUUUUUGGGCGGAAAUGGGGGAUUUAGGGGUCAAAAUUGACGAGAUUUCGAGGAUGGAAGGUGGGGAAACUUGGGGAAAUGCUAGACCCACUUGAAACCAAGCAAAUCCACGGAUCAAAAUCAACAAAAUAUCAUCAAACCAACAAAUCACAAAAAAAUUUGGGGCUAUUUUUGGUGGGGAUUUUCGGAUUUAGGACGAAAACAACAAAAUCAAGCUAGAAAACACGGGGUAGGGGCUCCAAAAAUGUGAUCAACGUGGCUCAUGAUACCAUAUGAUGUAGGGUGGAACCCUAAUUCGUCGAUCUUUCACGUUUGGAGGGGAUCCUACGGAGGAAACACGAAGAACACGCGGAAGCACAAAAAGAAACACGGGGAAAACGAGAGAGAAUCACUCAACCAACAAGAAAUCGAUCACACAAGUGCUAGAUCAACAUACACACAUGAGAUCCACAAGAUACAUAGUCAACUAGGGUAAGGAUACAAAGGAACCGUUCAUCUCCAAGAGGAGGCCUUGAAUCCACGAGGGGAUCUUCCCGUAAAGGGGUCUUGAAUCCGAAAGGAUCUUCUCCGAAGAGGCCGCGGUCUCUCACGAGGAGGAGAUCCGAUAGAUGAGCGAGGCUCUAUCUCAAAAACGAGCUAAAUCAACGCUAAGUCUCAAAGUGAGGAGAGGGGGUCCUAUUUAUAGACUUGGGGGCGAAGGGGUACAUGGGCUCAGCCCAACACGCGCACACAGGCGCUGGCCGGAUGAUCCGGACGGGGGUCCGGAUGAUCCGGGCUGGUUCGGAUGAUCCGGGUGGUGGCCCAGAUGAGCUGGAGGCCCGGCUGGUGGCGGCGACGGGCCGGAUGUCCGGCUCUAGGUCCGGAUGAUCCGGG
rnacentral:lncRNA from 1 species